rnacentral:rRNA from 1 species
UAGGGAAUAUUAGUAAUGGGCGAAAGCCUGAACUAGCAACGCCGCGUGUGCGAAGAAGGCCUUCGGGUUGUAAAGCACUUUUUGAGAGGAUGAGGAAGGACGGUACUCUCAGAAUAAGUCUCGGCUAACUACGUGCCAGCAGCCGCGGUAACACGUAGGAGGCGAACGUUAUCCGGAUUUACUGGGCGUAAAGCGCGUGUAGGUGGUUUGGUAAGUAGGGCGUGAAAGCUCCUGGCUCAACUGGGAGAGGCCGUUCUAAACUGCCGAACUAGAGGAUGGUAGAGGGAGGUGGAAUUCCGGGUGUAGCGGUGGAAUGCGCAAAUAUCCGGAGGAACACCAGUGGCGAAAGCGGCCUCCUGGACCACUCCUGACGCUCAGACGCGAAAGCUAGGGUAGCAAACGG